rnacentral:rRNA from 1 species
GAUGAACGCUAGCGGCAGGCCUAAUACAUGCAAGACGAACGGUAAGUUGAGUAGCAAUACUUAGCCAAGAGUGUCGUACGGGUGCGUAACACGUAUGCAACCUACCCUAUACAGGAGGAUAGCCUAGGGAAACCUGGAUUAACCCUUCAUAGUAUUAUUGGAUGGCAUCAUUUGAUAAUUAAAACUGAGGUGGUAUAGGAUGGGCAUGCGUCUGAUUAGUUAGUUGGCGGGGUAAUGGCCCACCAAGACGAUGAUCAGUAGGGGUUCUGAGAGGAAGAUCCCCCACACUGGCACUGAGAUACGAGCCAGACUCCUACGGGAGGCAGCAGUAGGGAAUAUUGGUCAAUGGAUGCAAGUCUGAACCAGCCAUGCCGCGUGCAGGAAGAAGGCCUUUCUGGGGUUGUAAAACUGCUUUUGCCAGGGGAUAAAAUUUCCAUGCGUGGAAAACUGAAGGUACCUGGUGAAUAAGCCACGGCUAACUACGUGCCAGCAGCCGCGGUAA